rnacentral:pre_miRNA from 1 species
UCUUAUGGAUGAGCAAAGAAAAUGGCUUUUUGAGAUGGAGUCUGCUCCUGGUGAAGAUGCUGUGAA